UGGACCAAUUCCAGAUAGGUCAAGGACUAUACGGAAAAGUUCCGCCUGCUGAUUUGAAGCCUCACUUAUCUAGUUAGCGAGUCCAGUUCAGAAGAGCAGAAAGGUUGAUGAAAUCAAGCGCAUAAACGACGAGGUAGCUGCUACGUUACAUUAGAAGACACCCACCCGUACGUACCUUUCAGCAUCAGCCAGUGGCGCUCUCUCUGCUGCAUCUGAUGAUUCUUGUGAACGAGAGCCAGGUUUUCAGCCUAAGACACCCACCCUUACUCUGAAUGCACUCCGUGUAGGUGAGCAGGAAGCAGGAGACAGAGACAGAGCAGGGGAUGGAAGCGGGGAGCUGCUUGCUCUUGAUGGUGGCAUGCAAGAGACUCCAGACUUCGGCUGUGGAGAAAGUGAUGCCCUUUAUAUGGGAGGGGGUGAUGAUGAUCGGCUCUCUGGAGGUAGUGAAGUCCAGUUCAGAAGAGCAGAAAGGUUGAUGAAAUCAAGCGCAUAAACGACGAGGUAGCUGCUACGUUACAUUAGAAGACACCCACCCUUACUCGGAAUGGACUCCGGGUAGCGGGAGACAGAGACAGAGCAGGGGAUGACCAUGAGGAUGGCCUGCUUCUCAGAAAUGGACUUGUCGGAGAAGGCCUUCAAAGAAGAAGAAGAAAAAAAGAGGAAGGACACUUUCAGCUGACUAGAAAUGGUUUGCAGAAACUAAGGACAAAUGGGACCUUGGAAAUGCAGCUGCAGGGGAUGGAGGCUCUCGAUGUUUCUUGGGGAGCGGCUCAGGUGACUCUGAAGAUGACCACGAGGAAGAUCUGCCUCUCAGAAAUGGUGGACUUGUUGGAGAAGGCUUUCAGAGAAGAAAAAAAGAGAAAGGACAUUUUCAGCUGACUAGAAAUGGUUGGCAGAAACUAAGGACAAAAUGGGACUGUUCCAAAGUAUGUUUGAGCUUUCGACUUUAACAUGAGUUAUUAUGGUUGCUAGGUUGACGUUCAGCGUGUUUAAAAAAGGACAUGGAUCUUCAUUAGAGAAAAAACAUUCGCAGUGUGCUCAUCAGCUCCUAUGACCAUCGCCAUAAUUUCACCAGAAUUUUCUUGGACAGUCAGGGUCUCUCCCUCCUCAAGGAUUUUACGACAAGGCUGACGGAUCCCACAGUGGCUCUUUGCCAUCCACUCUCCAAGCACGACUGCAUCACCUUUGCCAGAGAAAAUGGCAGAGAAUAUUUGGCAUCAAAGAUCGGCAUCCAAGUCCUGCAGACGUUGCUCCAGUUCUUUCAGGAAUUCAUCCGCUUCACUUUCUAUCUCCUUCAUGCAGGACUCUCAUGGGAGGACACGGAUGGAAGAUCUCAAGUCCAAAGUACACGCUCUUGGACUGUCCCCUGAUCUCUUAUUGACCUCUGAGUACAGUGAUACAAAAAAGUCUCUUAGAGCAGCGCCAAUACAAUAUUAAAUACUUUUGUCUGCCCCCAAGAGAUCAGGUCCUCGGUAUGACGGCUCCAAAACCAGUGGCGCACUAUCUGCAUGUACUAACAUCGCCAGACAAAA